rnacentral:rRNA from 1 species
AUUGAACGCUGGCGGCAGGCCUAACACAUGCAAGUCGAGCGGAUGAAGGGAGCUUGCUCCUGGAUUCAGCGGCGGACGGGUGAGUAAUGCCUAGGAAUCUGCCUGGUAGUGGGGGAUAACGUCCGGAAACGGGCGCUAAUACCGCAUACGUCCUGAGGGAGAAAGUGGGGGAUCUUCGGACCUCCCGCUAUCAGAUGAGCCUAUGUCGGAUUAGCUAGUUGGUGGGGUAAAGGCCUACCAAGGCGACGAUCCGUAACUGGUCUGAGAGGAUGAUCAGUCACACUGGAACUGAGACACGGUCCAGACUCCUACGGGAGGCAGCAGUGGGGAAUAUUGGACAAUGGGCGAAAGCCUGAUCCAGCCAUGCCGCGUGUGUGAAGAAGGUCUUCGGAUUGUAAAGCACUUUAAGUUGGGAGGAAGGGCAGUAAGUUAAUACCUUGCUGUUUUGACGUUACCAACAGAAUAAGCACCGGCUAACUUCGUG